rnacentral:rRNA from 1 species
UACGGAGGGGGCUAGCGUUGUUCGGAAUUACUGGGCGUAAAGCGCACGUAGGCGGCAAUUCAAGUCAGGGGUGAAAUCCCGGGGCUCAACCCCGGAACUGCCCUUGAAACUGGAUCGCUAGAAUCUUGGAGAGGCGAGUGGAAUUCCGAGUGUAGAGGUGAAAUUCGUAGAUAUUCGGAAGAACACCAGUGGCGAAGGCGACUCGCUGGACAAGUAUUGACGCUGAGGUGCGAAAGCGUGGGGAGCAAACAGG